CAGUCGACGGCAGCGCGGGAGCAAUCCUGGCGGCGAGUGGCGAACGGGUGAGUAAUACAUCGGAACGUGCCCAAUCGUGGGGGAUAACGCAGCGAAAGCUGUGCUAAUACCGCAUACGAUCUACGGAUGAAAGCAGGGGAUCGCAAGACCUUGCGCGAAUGGAGCGGCCGAUGGCAGAUUAGGUAGUUGGUGAGGUAAAGGCUCACCAAGCCUUCGAUCUGUAGCUGGUCUGAGAGGACGACCAGCCACACUGGGACUGAGACACGGCCCAGACUCCUACGGGAGGCAGCAGUGGGGAAUUUUGGACAAUGGGCGAAAGCCUGAUCCAGCCAUGCCGCGUGCAGGAUGAAGGCCUUCGGGUUGUAAACUGCUUUUGUACGGAACGAAGAGUCUCUUUCUAAUAAAGAGGGAUCAUGACGGUACCGUAAGAAUAAGCACCGGCUAACUACGUGCCAGCAGCCGCGGUAAUACGUAGGGUGCAAGCGUUAAUCGGAAUUACUGGGCGUAAAGCGUGCGCAGGCGGUUAUGUAAGACAGUUGUGAAAUCCCC
rnacentral:rRNA from 1 species